UGCCUACGGGGGGCUGCAGUCGAGAAUCUUCGGCAAUGGACGCAAGUCUGACCGAGCGACGCCGCGUGCGGGAUGAAGGCCUUCGGGUUGUAAACCGCUGUCAGUUGGGAGGAAAUCACAUGGGGUUCUCUCCAUGUGUUGACCUAUCUUCAGAGGAAGGACGGGCUAAGUUCGUGCCAGCAGCCGCGGUAAGACGAACCGUCCAAACGUUAUUCGGAAUUACUGGGCUUAAAGGGUGCGUAGGCGGCCCUGUAAGUUGGGUGUGAAAUCCCUCGGCUCAACCGAGGAAUUGCGCCCAAUACUGCAGGGCUAGAGGGAGACAGAGGUGAGCGGAACUUGUGGUGGAGCGGUGAAAUGCGUUGAUAUUACAAGGAACACCUGUGGCGAAAGCGGCUCACUGGGUCUUUUCUGACGCUGAGGCACGAAAGCUGGGGGAGCGAACGGGAUUAGAUACCCCAGUAGUCGA
rnacentral:rRNA from 1 species